CCUACGGGAGGCAGCAGUGGGGAAUAUUGCACAAUGGGGGAAACCCUGAUGCAGCGACGCCGCGUGAGUGAAGAAGUAUUUCGGUAUGUAAAGCUCUAUCAGCAGGGAAGAAAAUGACGGUACCUGAUUAAGAAGCCCCGGCUAACUACGUGCCAGCAGCCGCGGGAAUACGUAGGGGGCAAGCGUUAUCCGGAUUUACUGGGUGUAAAGGGAGCGUAGACGGCAAAACAAGUCUGGAGUGAAAUGCCGAGGCUUAACCCCGGAACUGCUUUGGAAACUGUGCAGCUAGAGUGCAGGAGAGGUAAGUGGAAUUCCUAGUGUAGCGGUGAAAUGCGUAGAGAUUAGGAGGAACACCAGUGGCGAAGGCGGCUUACUGGACUGUAACUGACGUUGAGGCACGAAAGCAUGGGGAGCAAACAGGAUUAGAUACCCGAGUAGUC
rnacentral:rRNA from 1 species